AGUGAACGCUGGCGGUAGGCCUAACACAUGCAAGUCGAACGGCAGCACAGUAAGAGCUUGCUCUUACGGGUGGCGAGUGGCGGACGGGUGAGGAAUACAUCGGAAUCUACUUUUUCGUGGGGGAUAACGUAGGGAAACUUACGCUAAUACCGCAUACGACCUACGGGUGAAAACAGGGGAUCUUCGGACCUUGCGCGAUUGAAUGAGCCGAUGUCGGAUUAGCUAGUUGGUGGGGUAAAGGCCCACCAAGGCGACGAUCCGUAGCUGGUCUGAGAGGAUGAUCAGCCACACUGGAACUGAGACACGGUCCAGACUCCUACGGGAGGCAGCAGUGGGGAAUAUUGGACAAUGGGCGCAAGCCUGAUCCAGCCAUACCGCGUGGGUGAAGAAGGCCUUCGGGUUGUAAAGCCCUUUUGUUGGGAAAGAAAAGCAGCAGGUUAAUACCCCGCUGUUCUGACGGUACCCAAAGAAUAAGCACCGGCUAACUUCGUG
rnacentral:rRNA from 1 species